rnacentral:rRNA from 1 species
CCUACGGGAGGCAGCAGUAGGGAAUCUUCCACAAUGGGCGAAAGCCUGAUGGAGCAACGCCGCGUGGGUGAAGAAGGUCUUCGGAUCGUAAAACUCUGUUGUUAGAGAAGAAAGUGCGUGAGCGUAACUGUUCACGUUUCGACGGUAUCUAACCAGAAAGCCACGGCUAACUCCGUGCCAGCAGCCGCGGUAAUACGUAGGUGGCAUGCGUUAUCCGGAUUUAUUGGGCGUAAAGGGAACGCAGGCGGUCUGUUAAGUCUGAGGUGAAAGACUUCGGCUUAACCGGAGUAGUGCAUUGGAAACUGGGAGACUUGAGUGCAGAAGAGGAGGGUGGAACGCAAGGUGUAGCGGUGAAAUGCGUAGAUAUAUGGAAGAACACCAGUGGCGAAGGCAGCUCUCUGGUCUGUAACUGACGCUGAGGUUCGAAAGCGUGGGUAGCAAACAGGAUUAGAUACCCUGGUAGUC